GGUUAGUAAGUUAUUAACAUAUGUUUUGAAAGCAUAAAAAGAAAGAAACACUUUCACUGACCU
rnacentral:tRNA from 1 species